UUGUUUUUUUUUUUUUUUUUAGAUCAGCAUCAAUAAAAAGUAAAUGAUUGAUCGAUUGAUUCUAGAGGCAUCCGAUACCUGCUCAGUGGUGUCAACAGUUGAGUGUUGAAGUCAUUAUUGGCAAUUAUGGAAUGCCACUGUCGGAUGGACAACUUCGUCCUAGCCGUAUAUGAAUGUCAUCUUCCUCCAAGUUUGUAUAUAUCUACUCCUUCUUAUUGCCAUGCACCUCUUGUGAAUCAAAUUCUCUUAAUUAUUUUCUUUUUCUUGAUGAAAGCAAGCUAAAAAACCAGGCAUCACCUUCAUGGUAGUAAUCAUCAUCAAAAGCACCACAUGCCAGGUGGAGGAGACAGUCCCUAUGAUGACCCUUUCUUGAAUUCUUGUUGCUGCUGCUGCCACUGUUUUCUUGCUAUCUCAUACAUUUUCAGUGCUUUCCAAAGAUGCAUCCUUUUUUUUCCUUGUUACCCUCUCUUCAAGUGCUUUGGGUGGAAUGAAUCUGCUCCUAGAUAUCAACAUCAUCACAUCCAACACACGGAAAUGGAAUGAUUCAUCUUACUUAUCACUCAUCCAUUCCAUGUAUUUUAGUUUCUUCAAUCCUUCCUCUCCCUUCUUCCAAAGAAAAUAUCCUGAUUUAAUUUGUUACAAUAUUUAGAUUAUGACUGCUGGUGUAUUAUUAUUAUUAUUUUUAAAAGCAAAUUUAUUGAACUUUUGCUAUAUAGAAGAAGCACAAAAAAUUUGAUUAAAUAAAAAAAAUAAGUUUGCUUU